UCGCCUUCCUCCGCGGCAUUGGCGCUGGGUGGCGGCUUCCACCGCCCGAGGGCUGCCACUCACAGGCUAGGCACCCCCCGGCUGUAAAGUUUUAUUCGCCAUUUAGCAAAUUGAAAAUACACUCGCCUGCAAUUGGGGGGUGUUAAUGAGGAUCACGUCCAGGAGGGAGCUGCACACACACAGGACAGAAUCACAGAUUCCAGAGAUUAAAGACGGUGCCUGCCGAGAGUGUGGGUUUCCUGGAAGCCUCAGAGUCGCCCUCUGACUUGAUGAAGAAGAGAUGUCACUUCUCGGGGACAAGGAGCGACCGUCUGGGAGGUUAAGGGGACAGGCAUUGGAUUCCUGGACACGGACCUAAGAUUCCCACCUGCCUCGUGGCCAAAAAAAUGAAAAGGUGGAUUCCUUACUGUUCUGAGCCACCAGAGAAGCCCAGAAAUGGACAAAGGAAACCAUAACAGUUAGCUUCACUGGCUUGUUCUCUAUAAGAAAACCGGAUUUCACUUUCCCUGUAUGCUCGGUGGCUGUCCGGCACCAGGACUCCCAAGAAUAAACGCCUCCGGGUCCGGUUGGGAAAUACACAAAGCUUGAACAACUGGAAGUUCUCGGUUCACAUACUGUUGAAGCUGGGCUUGGAGACUUUUGAGCAUUACUUUGCUAGUGUGUGAGUUGUUUUUGGUCAUCAAAGCAUGUGGGAUCUUAGUUCCCUGAGCAGGGAUUCGACACGCACCCCCUACGUUGGAAGGUGAAGUCACA
ensembl:lncRNA